CAAUUCUUCAUUUUCCUGACAAUUUCCUUGGGGGUCCUUUGGCCAGGAUUUCUGGAUAAUGGCUGAGAUGAGUUUCCCAAACUUCCAGUUCACCUUGAACUUCUCAAACAGCUUCCCCUCCGACUUGUUCUGCAUAUGAGGUGAGCCUGCGGUAACUCCUGUCUGCUGCUCCAAAAUGGUAGCGACCGUCAUCUACUGUAGACGACGUAUUUGUACGGUAUCGACACAGACUCAGCUUCACUUUUGACUGUCUGCAGAUUGCCCUCGACCAGAAAACCAUGUUCUCCGAGAUCCCUGCGUGGAAAAGAAAAUAAAGUCAAAGUGGAGAAAGUCUAUGUUUUAGAAAUCAGCAAAGAAAAUGUAAGACUUUAAGAGGAUUAUUUUUUGGAUGUAUCAUUGUUUGAUGCGCCUAUACAUUAAACCACCAUCUGAGCUUAA